GACGAACGCUGGCGGCGUGCUUAACACAUGCAAGUCGAACGGAAAGGCCCUGCUGUUGUGGGGUGCUCGAGUGGCGAACGGGUGAGUAACACGUGAGUAACCUGCCCCUGACUUUGGGAUAACUUCUGGAAACUGGGGCUCAUACCGGAUAGGAGCUCCUGCUGCAUGGUGGGGGUUGGUAAGUUUCGGCGGUUGUGGAUGGACUCGCGGCUUAUCAGCUUGUUGGUGGGGUAGUGGCUUACCACGGCUUUGACGGGUAGCCGGCCUGAGAGGGUGACCGGCCACAUGGGGACUGGGAUACGGCCCAGACUCCUACGGGAGGCAGCAGUGGGGAAUAUUGCACAAUGGCCGGAAGCCUGAUGCAGCAACGCCGCGUGCGGGAUGACGGCCUUCGGGUUGUAAACCGCUUUCGCCUGUGACGAAGCGUGAGUGACGGUAAUGGGUAAAGAAGCACCGGCUAACUACGUG
rnacentral:rRNA from 1 species